rnacentral:rRNA from 1 species
AAACAACUCUUAAAACUUUCAACAACGGAUCAUCUUGGUUCUGGCAUCGAUGAAGAACGCAGCGAAAUGCGAUAAGUAAUGUGAAUUGCAGAAUUCAGUGAAUCAUCGA